AACGAACGCUGGCGGCAUGCCUAACACAUGCAAGUCGAACGAAGCCUUCGGGCUUAGUGGCGCACGGGUGCGUAACGCGUGGGAAUCUGCCCUUGGGUUCGGAAUAACAGUUAGAAAUGACUGCUAACACCGGAUGAUGUCUUCGGACCAAAGAUUUAUCGCCCAAGGAUGAGCCCGCGUAGGAUUAGGUAGUUGGUGGGGUAAUGGCCCACCAAGCCGAUGAUCCUUAGCUGGUCUGAGAAGAUGAUCAGCCACACUGGGACUGAGACACGGCCCAGACUCCUACGGGAGGCAGCAGUGGGGAAUAUUGGACAAUGGGCGAAAGCCUGAUCCAGCAAUGCCGCGUGAGUGAUGAAGGCCUUAGGGUUGUAAAGCUCUUUUACCAGGGAUGAUAAUGACAGUACCUGGAGAAUAAGCUCCGGCUAACUCCGUGCCAGCCGCCGCGGUAA
rnacentral:rRNA from 1 species